GACGAACGCUGGCUGCGUGCUUAACACAUGCAAGUCGAGGGACCGGCGCCCGGGAGAGUAACACGUAUCCAACCUGCCCUUUACUAGGGGAUAGCCUUUCGAAAGAAAGAUUAAUACCCGAUAUAACGGAAGGGGAGGCGUUCCAUUCGGUUGUUGGUGAGGUACCGGCCGACAAAGCCGUCGAUGGAUAGGGGUUCUGAGAGGAAGGGCACACAGAUUGGAACUGAGACACGGUCCAAACUCCUACGGGAGGCAGCAGUGAGGAAUAUGUGUCAAUGGGCGGUAGCCUUAACCAGCCAAGUAGCGUUAAGGAUGAAGGCUGAUGGGUCGUAAACUUCUUUUAGAUAAGAAUAUGUAUUAUAUGAAUAAGGAUCGGCUAACUCCGUGCCAGCAGCCGCGGUAAUAC
rnacentral:rRNA from 1 species